ensembl:lncRNA
UCAGGGUGUGAGUUGGGGUGGGCAGUCUAUGUUUUGUCUUUAUUUAGUUAUGGUCAGGGUGUGAGUUGGGGGGGCAGUCUUUGUUUUGUCUUUAUUUAGUAUGGUCAGGGCGUGAGUUGGGGUGGGCAGUCUUUGUUUUGUCUUUAUUUAGUAUGGUCAGGGUGUGAGUUGGGGGGGCAGUCUAUGUUUUGUCUUUAUUUAGUAUGGUCAGGGUGUGAUUGGGGUGGGCAGUCUAUGUUUUGUCUUUAUUUAGUGUUGGUCAGGGUGUGAGUUGGGGUGGGCAGUCUAUGUUUUGUCUUUAUUUAGUAUGGUCAGGGCGUGAGU